UGCUGCUGCUGUGAGUUCAGUGCUAACAGGGUAACCACAUGGAUGGCAGAAUGAAACCAAGAAAAAUCCUGCCUGUAUUUGUUAUACUCACAUGUCUGCUUUUACUGUACAUUCUUCACAAGAAUCGAGAGCUCACACAGAAAAAUAAUCUUAGCAGCAGAAUACCAAAAGAAAAAAUGGUCAGAACUGUCAAGUUGUCCAAAAAGAUGCAAUGGAAAUGCCGGGAUCUGACCAAGAAAAUACUUUCAAAGAGGAUACUAGACAAAAUAAGAUUUGAGAAACUAACCAAAGAAAUUCAACUGAUGCAAAUUUGCCCUUGGAAGCAAAACGCCAAACGUGUAGCACAGUACAGGU